GUUCUGGUCUCCACGCCAUAUGCUCUCGCGUCUGACCUUCUGGUUACAUCGACUAUCCCGGGUGCCCUCCAGUCGACGUGGACUACUCCUGCUGCACGCCCUGUGGCCCCCUCGAUCCCUGCAAGAUGUUUGUUCAGCGGUCCUUGAACGCACCAUGUUUAAGAUAAGCAAAAGCGAAACGUAGUGUACUACUACUGUACUGGCUCUCCUUCCAGCUGGAGGCGUACCUGAUUGGGCUCCACCUCAUUUAAGCAGAUGGACUGCACCUAGUAGUAGCUGGAUUAUUGUUGGUCUCCUGUGACUCGCAUGUACGCCCGGUUGCUUCCAGCACUCCAGCUUGGCGACCAUUAAUGUUUAACCUCCCUUCAUGGUGCCAGAUAGUUUUUGCUUUUCUUUUUGCACCAUCGUCUUCAGUUGUAUUCCGUCCCUCUUUUGAACAUUAUUAAACCCAUCUUACCUGCACACCUGCCUCCUGCCUUUGCAGGUAGGGUAGGCAUAAUUGCAUCUGCAUGAUUUGAAUAGAAAUAUAUCUAAGUGCUUAAUUGAAGCCCAUUGCAUGCAACAUUUGGUAUUCUUCAAUGCAUCCCAAAAAGCUUUCCAGACACUCUCUUCAUUGUGUUGUUUGCUGAUGUAUCGUUUAUUGAUUUACAUUGCAUAUCAGGGAUGUUUCUGUCAAUGUUUGUUUGCAUGUGUGCAGCAAUGGCUAUGCCUGCAAACUAAUGAGAUCCAUGAGUCGAAAUAUUAAAGACAGCUCUUGGUUUACUUUAAAUGUAGUGCAUCACUUUAGUCUUUGGGCUUGGUGGCAAUUUUCAGUUUUUUGACAGAUUACAUUGUCAUCCUAAGUGUUUACACAAGUCUUUCAAAUGAGGAAGCACAAAGCUCUACAGCCACCUUCUCCUCCUAUAUGGUUUGGCCUAAACGUUCCAGUAUGGCAUGACAAGCACAACAAACAGCAGGUCACCAGAGGAAGAGGAAUGAGCAAGAAAAAGCCCCCCAAAAGCAGGAUGAGAGAAUGAAAAAUUAAAUGAAAUGAAGUGAAAUGAAAAAUGGUAGGCCUGUGAUGUUACCUAAAUACCAAAAUCCAAAGAGACAUCCUAUAUAUAGGAUAUACAAAAUGAAGAAUUUUCAAUUAUACAGUAGAUCCCAGUUUUUGCGGGAGGUACGUUCCAUGCCUACCAGUGAAUGCUGAAAAAAGUAAUUGAUAAGAAUGUCAUAAUGAAUGUCAUAAGAAUGUCAUUUUUUAACAUACCUCCCCAAAUCCUGCUGUUAGCUUGAUAUUAAUG